AAUAGAUACCCCGGUAGUCCACGCCGUAAACGAUGAGUGCUAAGUGGUUAGAGGGGUUUUCCGGCCCUUUAGUGCUGCAGCAAACGCAUUAAGCACUCCGCCUGGGGAGUACGGUCGCAAGACUGAAACUCAAAGGAAUUGACGGGGGGCCCGCACAAGCGGUGGAGCAUGUGGUUUAAUUCGAAGCAACGCGAAGAACCUUACCAGGUCUUGACAUCCUUCGCUACUUCUAGAGAUAGAAGGUUCCCCUUCGGGGGACGGAGUGACAGGUGGUGCAUGGUUGUCGUCAGCUCGUGUCGUGAGAUGUUGGGUUAAGUCCCGCAACGAGCGCAACCCUUGACCUUAGUUGCCAGCAUUCAGUUGGGCACUCUAAGGUGACUGCCGGUGACAAACCGGAGGAAGGUGGGGAUGACGUCAAAUCAUCAUGCCCCUUAUGACCUGGGCUACACACGUGCUACAAUGGAUGGUACAAAGGGCUGCAAGACUGCGAAGUCAAGCCAAUCCCAUAAAACCAUUACUCAGUUCGGAUUGCAGGCUGA
rnacentral:rRNA from 1 species